AUACGUAGGGGGCGAGCGUUGUCCGGAAUGAUUGGGCGUAAAGGGCGCGUAGGCGGCGCGGUAAGUCUGGAGUGAAAGUCCUGCUUUCAAGGUGGGAAUUGCUUUGGAUACUGCCGCGCUUGAGUGCAGGAGAGGUUAUCGGAAUUCCCGGUGUAGCGGUGAAAUGCGUAAAGAUCGGGAGGAACACCAGUGGCGAAGGCGGGUAACUGGACUGCAACUGACGCUGAGGCGCGAAAGUGUGGGGAGCAAACAGGAUUAGAUACCCUGGUAGUCCACACUGUAAACGAUGAAUGCUAGGUGUAAGAGGUAUCGACCCCUUUUGUGCCGGAGUCAACACAAUAAGCAUUCCGCCUGGGGAGUACGGCCGCAAGGUUGAAACUCAAAGGAAUUGACGGGG
rnacentral:rRNA from 1 species